CUGAACCGCAAGCCUCUGCCCCACCGGCCCUAGCUCAGAGCAAAGCAGAAACUUGAAGCAGACGCUGCUCCGCAAAAGCAGCGCCCCAAAAGAUGCUGGGGCAGGUGCAAUGGGCAAGGCUGUCUCCUUCUGGCUCUGCCAUCCUGCUGCUGGUGCUCUGUGAGUUGGGGCAUUGCUGGGUGUGGGGGCUGAGGGCUGGAGGGCUGCAGCUGGGGGCAGGACAGGCCAGUGGUGGGCACAGGGGAGGAUGGGGACAGCGUGUGCGGGGCAGUGGUGCAGCACUGUGGGGCAUCGUUACCUUGGGGAAAGCAGGAUGGGGAUGGCUUCCUUCCGGUAUGAUGCAGAUCUGAGCAAGGGGCACACUUCUCUAGCACCAUAAAAUUUCUGGAGUGUUGCUCUGAGGCUCUAGGACUGCUGAAUUCUUUACGGAGCUAUGGGACUUACCUGGAACAAGAAAACCACAAAAAAAGGGAUUGGGAUUGGCAUUGUUUGAGGGUUUGUUGAAGUGAUAUAGCAUAAGAACAUGCAUGUGUAAUGGUGGCUGCGUAGCAGUGAGGAUUUUGGCAGGGGCAUCAGGAUGAGCCUGGACACUGCUCCUCUCAGCAAAUCCCUCUCUGCCCCUUGGCACAGCUGCCAGCAUGAGCUCCCAGGACAUCUGCAGCUCUCCAGGUACUCAUGAGUCCUUCCCUCCCAGAGCCAGGGCACUUGGAAGCCCAACCACUGUGAGCUCUGCCCUAUGGCAGCCCUUCACUGCUGUGUCUCCUCCAGGGGAUCUCCGAGCUCCUGCUUUCCAAAUGAACUCAACUUCUGCUCAGCCAGGUACCACUGUUGUGCUCCAGUGUAUUCUCCCUGUGGUGUCACAUGGAAGACGAAUCAUCUUCUGCAAGGAUAGGAAGGAGGUGUACAGCCAGGAAGCCCAGCAAAGGCAGCUGAGCUACUCCCUGGUCCUGAACAUCACAUCAAGAAGCGCAGGAAGAUAUACAUGUGGGUACCAGGAUUGGAAUGAGAUGAAACACAUGAGGAGCUCUGCCCUCAGUGCUGGCCGCAACCUGGAUGUCCCUGGCAAUGUGGUGAGUUCCCCGGCAAGUCCACCACCCACAGGCAGCAGCCCCUCACACAAGGCCCAGCUCCCUUCCAGGGGUGAGACAUUGCUCAUCAGC
rnacentral:lncRNA from 1 species